rnacentral:rRNA from 1 species
UACGUAGGGGGCUAGCGUUGUCCGGAUUUAUUGGGCGUAAAGAGCGUGUAGGCGGCCAGAUAGGUCUGCUGUGAAAACUCGAGGCUCAACCUCGAGAUGUCGGCGGAAACCGUCUGGCUAGAGUCCGGAAGAGGAGAGUGGAAUUCCUGGUGUAGCGGUGAAAUGCGCAGAUAUCAGGAAGAACACCUAUGGCGAAGGCAGCUCUUUGGGACGGUACUGACGCUGAGACGCGAAAGCGUGGGGAGCGAACAGG